AGGUCAAGCUAUUAAGAGCAUAGGGUGAAUGCCUUGGCACCAGAAGCCGAUGAAGGACGUGAUAAGCUGCGAAAAGCUGCGGAGAGGCGCAAAUAGCCAUUGACCCGCAGAUGUCCGAAUGGGGGAACCCACCUGGGGUAAAUGCCCAGGUACAUGUAUGUGAAUACAUAGCAUACAUGGGGGAGACGUAGGGAACUGAAACAUCUAAGUACCUACAGGAAAAGAAAACAAAAGUGAUUCCGUAAGUAGUGGCGAGCGAAAGCGGAUUAGCCCAAACCGGGGUACAGCAAUGUAGCCCGGGGUUGAGGACCGGCGGAAUGAUUCGGAGUAUCUAGCAGAAUGAGGCACUGGAACGUGCAGACCAUAGAGGGUAAAAGUCCCGUAUGCGAAAGAUAUGAAGACAGGCCGGGAUCCAGAGUACCACAAGGCACGUGAAACCUGGUGGGAAGCAGGGAGGACCACCUUCCAAGGCUAAAUACUAACUGGUGACCGAUAGUGGAGCAGUACCGUGAGGGAAAGGUGAAAAGAACCCCGGGAGGGGAGUGAAAGAGAACCUGAAACCCUAUGUUUACAAGCAGUUGGAGAGCGUUAAGGCUCGACAGCGUACUUUUUGUAGAACGGUCCGGCGAGUUAUAGUAUGUGGCAAGGUUAAGUACUAGAGGUACGGAGCCGAAGGGAAACCGAGUCUUAACAGGGCGACAAAGUCACAUGCCAUAGACCCGAAACCGGGUGACCUAUCCAUGGACAGGUUGAAGCGGGAGUAAAAUCCCGUGGAGGACCGAACCACGUGACCGUUGAAAAGGUCUGGGAUGAGCUGUGGAUAGCGGAGAAAUUCCAAUCGAACUCGGAGAUAGCUGGUUCUCCCCGAAAUAGCUUUAGGGCUAGCCUCUAAUGAAAGUCUAGCGGAGGUAAAGCACUGAAUGGGCUAGGGGCCUUACCAGGUUACCGAACCCUAUCAAACUCAGAAUGCCGUAUAGACGAUGUUAGGGAGUCAGACUACGGGAGAUAAGUUUCGUAGUCAAAAGGGAAACAGCCCAGACCAUCAGCUAAGGUCCCAAAAUCACAGUUAAGUGGAAAAGGAUGUGGGUUUGCUAAGACAACUAGGAUGUUGGCUUAGAAGCAGCCAUUCAUUCAAAGAGUGCGUAAUAGCUCACUAGUCGAGUGAGCCUGCGCCGAAAAUUACCGGGGCUAAACUGUGUACCGAAGCUAUGGAAGCGUGUGUGUUCAAUGGUGUUUCCUAAAGGCAGUGAAGCAAGGGGUAAGCUUCAUCGAAAUCAACCUUGAUUAAAUGAGUAAUUGAAAAAGGAGAUUUCGAUAAAAUUACACCAAAGGCAAAACUGUGUAGGAGAUAGCAUUGAACAUACAUGCUUGGUAGGGGAGCUUACUGUCGUAGGCCGAAGCACGAUCGUGAGGACGUGUGGACGAAACAGUAGUGAGAAUGCCGGAAUAAGUAGCGAGAGUAAAGUGAGAAUCUUUACCGUCGAAAACCUAAGGUUUCCUGGGGAAGGCUCGUCCGCCCAGGGUAAGUCGGGACCUAAGCCGAGGCCGAAAGGCGUAGGCGAUGGACAACAGGUUGAAAUUCCUGUACUACCGUCUCUUGUUUGAGAGAGGUGGGGACGCAGGAGGAUAGGCUAAGCGAGUAACUGGAAAAGCUCGUCCAAGGGAGGUAGAUAGUCCGGUAGGCAAAUCCGCCGGACGUUUCGAAGGCCUGAUGGGGAGGGAAAAUAGAGUACCGAAGUAGCCGAUUCCACACUGACGAGAAAAGCCACUAUCGAGAGAGAAGGUACCCGUACCGCAAACCGACACAGGUAGGUGAGGAGAGAAUCCUAAGACGAGCGGGAGAAGCGUUGUUAAGGAACUCGGCAAAUUGACCCCGUAAGUUCGCGAGAAGGGGUGCCUGUAGGAAUACAGGCCGCAGUGAAAAGGCCCAAGCAACUGUUUAUCAAAAACACAGGUCUCUGCUAAAUCGAAAGAUGACGUAUAGGGGCUGACGCCUGCCCGGUGCUGGAAGGUUACGGGGAAUGCUUAGCGCAAGCGAAGGCAUGAACUUAAGCCCCAGUAAACGGCGGCCGUAACUAUAACGGUCCUAAGGUAGCGAAAUUCCUUGUCAGGUAAGUUCUGACCCGCACGAAUGGCGUAAUGAUUUGGGCACUGUCUCGACAACGCACCCGGUGAAAUUGUAGUACUUGUGAAGAUGCAAGUUACCCGCGACUAGACGGAAAGACCCCAUGGAGCUUUACUGUAGCCUGAUACUGGGUUUCGGUAUUCUUUGUAUAGGAUAGGUGGGAGGCAGAGAAGUAGCGGCGCCAGCCGCUAUGGAGCCGACGUUGGAAUACCACUCUAAGAGUACUGGAACUCUAACCAGAGUCCAUAAGCUGGACUUGGGACACUGUCAGGUGGGCAGUUUGACUGGGGCGGUCGCCUCCCAAAAGGUAACGGAGGCGUCCAAAGGUUACCUCAGCGCGGUUGGAAACCGCGCAACGAGUGCAAAGGCAUAAGGUAGCCUGACUGUGAGAGAGACACCUCGAGCAGGUACGAAAGUAGGGCUUAGUGAUCCGGUGGUAUGAAAGUGGAAUUGCCAUCGCUCAACGGAUAAAAGCUACCCUGGGGAUAACAGGCUUAUCUCCCCCAAGAGUCCACAUCGACGGGGAGGUUUGGCACCUCGAUGUCGGCUCAUCGCAUCCUGGAGCUGUAGCAGGUUCCAAGGGUUUGGCUGUUCGCCAAUUAAAGCGGUACGCGAGCUGGGUUCAGAACGUCGUGAGACAGUUCGGUCCCUAUCUGUCGCGGGCGCAGGAUAUUUGAGGGGAUCUGUCCUUAGUACGAGAGGACCGGGAUGGACGAACCUCUGGUGCACCAGUUGCAUUGCCAAGUGCAGAGCUGGGUAGCCAAGUUCGGCAGGGAUAAACGCUGAAGGCAUCUAAGCGUGAAACCCACCCCAAGAUGAGAUAUCCCAUUCGAAAGAAGUAAGACCCCAUGAAGACUACAUGGUAGAUAGGCCGGAUGUGGAAGUGCAGUAAUGUACGAAGCUGACCGGUACUAAUAGGUCGAGGGCUUGACCAAGAA
rnacentral:rRNA from 1 species